rnacentral:lncRNA from 1 species
UAUAUAUAUAUAUAUAUACACAUACACACGCGACAAAUGAAACAAAACAGCAUUUGCAUGAUUUGACAUUUGCCAAUUUCCAUUAGUAAUACAGACAUUUUCUUUCAUAUGCUCAAGUUUCAGAUAAGUCAUCUUGGCCAUAGGUAGCAUGAGCAUGCUCAAACCCUAAAACCAAAUCCUCCAUAUAAUACCGAUAUUGCGCCAAACCUGACCGGUCAUAUGAAUGGUUUUUAUGAAACUAGCCAAGAGAUGUGGAUAAGUUUUGAGUACAUACCCCUUGGAUAAUCAAAGUAAGCUUCUUUAUUUAUUUAUUUUCCCAUCUUUUUAUCCAAAAACAAUUCCUGGGGUUUUUCAUGUGCAAGAUUUUCAUGUGACCCUGCUCUUUCAUGCUGAGGCCCAAGGAUUAACUUCCAUCACAAUUGUUAGCUCUUCAUCUCCACUAAAGAGACAGGUCACACCAAGCUCAGCUUUGCUAUGUUAUUCAUAAGAAAGUUCCGUAUAUUUUGAACAUGAUCUUAGACAACACAUCGAAGAACACUAGAUUCUUGAAACAAUAUUUAGCAUAAUUCCAGAACAUAACAACAAAUUGGUGAUUCAGAAUAAAGUACAGGAAACAAAUAAAUAAAUAAAAGAAACUCCAGAAGAUCCACCUUUUCAUCACCUAUCAUUGAUCCCUUGGAUAAUCAAGUAAGCUUCUUUAUUUAUUUAUUUUCUCAUCUUUUUAUCCAAAAACAAUUCCUGGGGUUUUUCAUGUGCAAGAUUCUCAUGUGCCCCUGCUCUUUCAUGCUGAGGCCCAAGGAUUAACUUCCAUCACAAUUGUUAGCUCUUCAUCUCCACUAACAAACAGGCCACACCAAGCUCAGCUUUGCUAUGUUAUUCAUAAGAAAGUUCUGUAUAUUUUGAACAUGAUCUUAGACAACACAUCGAAGAACAUUAGAUUCUUGAAACAAUAUUUAGCAUAAUUCCACAACAUAACAACAAAUUGGUGAUUCAGAAUAAAGUACAGGAAAUAAAUAAAUAAAAGAAACUCCAGAAGAUCCACCUUUUCAUCACCUAUCAUUGAUCCUUUCAAUUUGGCAUGUUAGCCAUGUGCUUCAAAUCCCCUUGACAUACCAGUUCUCAUCAAAGAAAAUACAGAUAAUUUGUGUCCUACAUUGCAAGUGCUAACUACAGAAAUUCUGAUUGGAAAACUUCAAUUGUGAAGAUAAUUUACAUACAAACUAGGCAACAAAAUUCAGCCACUUACAGUUCAUUGUUUGGAAGUGACUCAAUUGUACAAUUUCUAAAGAGAAAAAAACAUACUCCCACACUCUCCAUAAAUUUCUCCAUCAACCUGUAUACAUCUAUAAACACGAUUACCAUUGCUGCCCAUAAUUACAUAACACAUUUCUUCCUUUUGAAAGUGCAAACUAUUUUCUAAGAUGGUCCUUUUGAAAGUGCAAACUAAGCGGAAUGAAUUUCGAUAUGCACAAAAUAAUGAUGAGAAAGGAGAGAUGGAGAUAAAAAAAUUAAGUAAAAACCAGAUUACAUAAAAAACCACCAACAUAUGCCAAUUUGUGCUCCAAACAAACUUGCUGCAUAGAAAGAAAUAUUAUAUGAAAAACCAGAAGAAGGAAGAGGUGGAAAAGGCAUUAUAGUCCUCCUUCACAUUAUUGUAAGAGGUAAAACCGAAACAGAUUGCUCUAUUAAAGGGAGCCUUGGAAACUCUAGGGAAUUGAUUUUGAUUCAAAUCAACGUCUAGUCACUGUAAGAAGGACAAUCCAACUCAGUAUGAACAAAGGCACAUUCAUCAACUCAUCGUUUAUGACUUCAUAUUCUCAAUCGUCCAACCUGUUUCUUUCAUUUUUUUCCGGGAUAUGGUUUCAGCAACAACAAACAGAGCAAUAUGAAAUUAGAUGUAGCUCCAUAAUCAAAGUCCAUGACAAGAACCCUGAAACACCUUAACCACUCUCAUAGAUAAACAACCAAGAACAGACUCAGCCUAGAACCCUAUAGCCAUCACCAACGACCAAUUAGCCACCCCACCCACAAAUCAAUCAAAUUCAAAUAAGAAACUAACCUCCUAACUUAAAACAAACAAUAGCGUGGGAACAUUAUAUGACUAACAACCCAAUAACCAAACAAAACCAAAAGUCCAAAACCCCCCACCAGAAUCAAGUCCACCAUAAACAUUCAAGCAUAAAAGAACAAAUACCUACACCCAAGAAAAAUACCAACGCCAACUCAAUUAGGUUAAACAACCUUAAAAAUAAACCAAAAAGUCAAUAAAAUAACCUAGUAGCUACAAAACUCCCAUCAAGAUCAAACACGGCCAGCAUAAAAACAAUAAUCUGAAGCUACAAGAGAUUAAAAAUGGAAACCAACAAAAAAGAAAAAAAAUUAAAAUAUGAGCGAAUAACAAACCGUAAUUUACAACUGCAAUAAAUUGGAUACCAAACCCACCAACAAAACUGGAAAACAAACACAGCUAGCUAACUAAAAAGAACACGAAACAGAAAAGGAAAGAAAACCCAUCUAUCAGACAAAUAAAAAUUAAAAAGGAAUAUGCCCAACUGAGAAACAACAAUUUUCAACAACAAGAGACAUUAAACACAGCCCAUCAACAAAUUUAAAGUAUAAGUAGCUUAUAACUGAAAAAAAAAUUGCAAAAAGUUGAAAAAAAAAAAGGGGGAAGAAAAAACAACUCCGAGAGAAGGAAAACAAAAACCAAGCUGACCUGCUACACUGCUGGCAAAACCUCUGCUCAAGGCCCGCAACAAUGACCGUUGGAGACUUCGAAUGCAUACCACACACUUUAUGCCUUGAAUAGUAAGCUUUGGCAUCACUCAGAUCUACUUUACACCCUUCAACUUGACACCUCGGUGGUUGGCCUCCCUGAACAACCCCACUACCUCUUACCUUCUUUGGUGGCGCCGGAGGUGGGCGACCACCGGAGCCGGCGGCAGAGGAGGAGGAGGAGGACCCGGUUCCCGAUUUGGCCGGAGCUCCAACACCCAAAUCUUCAAAAUAUAUCUUCUGCCCAAAUUUCAACCCGUUGAGCGACUCAGACGAGUUGGCCGAAGAGCUGGAAACGGUCAAAGAGCUCGAACCCCUUUCCAUGUGUGGCGCUCCUAGAGUCCAUUCAUGGGUAUUUUUCUUGUGGGUCACGAAGAUAUAGAAAAGAGGGGAAAAGGAAACACUUGUGUAAAGAGUGACAAAAGCAACAGAUACCGAUAGAAGAGUGGGGGGUUUCAAAAGCAGUUUGUGAAGGCAACAAAGCAAGAGAAGCAGUAGAAGAUGAUGAUGGUGGUGGUGUGAAAAAAAGCAAACACCUGACACUGGGCCAUGCCAGCAGAGGAGAGGGGUAUGGUACUUCUGAAUGGACUGUGAAAAUAAUGGAGACGCAGUAGAGAGAGAAAGAGAUAGAUAGCAGUGCACUUUUUGAGUUCUGAGUGAGGGAGAGACAGAGAGAGGAAUAGAGAGAGAGAGAGAGAGGAGUUUUG